CAACCUGACACGUUUUAUCUCUUCAACUUUCUCGAUAUUGUUCAUUCAUCCAAACGGUUUCUACUUGUUCAGUCAAUAUCUUUAAACACAUGCAUUUAUAUAUCCACAUGUGUGUUUGUGCAUGUAGGUGAGCAGUUACGCAUAUGUAUGAAUGGAUAAACAGGGGCCGCUGCAUGCAUGCAUCUCCUAGGCUGAGUAUAUAGACACAUAUCUUCUUGGAAUCUGCUCAGUGCACUGGGCAUGUGAUGACAGAACCUUCUAUCAGAUACAUGAUUCUGCGUGCGCGUCGAGUGCUUGUUUCCCGUUCCGGCUGAAGGUUUCCACGUAAAGUCUCUCAUACCGUUCCACUUGUCACUCGUUCAACAGGUUCGAUUUGUCUUAAAUACUGGCAGUUUCCCCUUCUCUACAGUGCUCGGCAUUCCGGUUUUCGCCCUUACUGCUUCAUCUCGCUGAUUUCAUCGAGAGACUCAAUCAGAUUUCGAGAGUAGAGGUUGCGGUCCGACCGCACGGACUCGUAAAGACUCUUCUGGGUCGCCAGCUUGUUUCGCAGUUCAGUGAUUGUUUUCUGCAGAUCAGUCACCUGGUUGUCUCCCCCCUUUAUCUCCUCUAACACCGCCAAGUAUCUGCAGAAAGCAGUGUCAAAAGGGAAACGUUCACCCAGAGAGAUAUGAGGUUUCCUGCAAGUGGUGGAGCGCCAUGUGCACACCGCUACAGCUACAGACAAGUCAGCAAAUACUUUGUGUGUACGCGUCUACAGUCUGUGCACAGAAUUGAGAGUGUAUCCCCUGUUAGAAGGAUGCGUUUUCGCUCGCUCCGCGGCCGAACGUUGUCGCGAUUAUUUCGUGAGAAGCGCUACGGAUCACGCGUUUCGUUUUUUGUCCUAAACACCUCUUCGUUUCUCGAACUUGGC
rnacentral:lncRNA from 1 species